CUAUAGAUAGACCUAUUCCAUAUGGAUGUAGAUCAAUUCCAUAUAUAGAUACCCACACACAGACACAUAUAGCAGGAAGGAGGAGAAAAACGUACCUAGAAAUAUAUUUCUGUAUACACGUAUUAUAUAAUGAUAAUAGAUAUAACGUAUGUAUAUAUAAGUAUGUCUGUUCGUCCACCCCCACGUAUAUGCCUGUAUACGUAUCCGAAUGAGAGAGCUAAGUAGACGACGCUGCUGCACAGAUGCGCUAGAUGUGUGCGCGCGUCCUGGUGCCCACGAAGAGCCAGCCCGGGCCCGCCGCGCCGAGCCCCGCGCACAAGCCCGCGCUCAGCCCGCAGCAACCGCGCCGCGGCCCCAGCGCCUCCCCGCGGGCAGCAGAGAUGGGGGCACUCGGGAGGGAGAGGACCGGCUCUGCCGCAGCACCAGGUGGAAAAAAGUGUGAACAAAACCAGACAUGGAGACAGCACGUCCCCCUCUCUCCCCGGCAGGAGGACCGGGACUGGGGAGGGAGGGGGGACUUUUCCUGGGAAACCUUGAAGCUGCCUGGCAGCCUGAGCACAUGCGAUGCCAGCAGCCGGGCGGGAAGCGGUGUGUGGGGUAGAGCCCGGAGCUGCCGGGCACAUCCAUCGCAAGAAGAGGCACUGCUAAGGCAUCACUCAGCCGGGUAGUUUAGCCUGGCUGGGCUGUGCGGACAGGAAGAGGAAAGCCCCAUUUGACACCCUCCAACCGUCCUCAACUCAUAGCAACAGAGCAGUUGCAACCAAAUUCCUGCCUGGGUAAUAAUGAACAUUGUUAUGACAAGGAGCAACAACUGGUUUGCUAUAGAAAUAGUGUUUGUUUGUGAAGAACCUGAGGAUGAACAGCCAUUAAGACCAACCAACACGAUCUGCACCUAAAAAGUCUAUUGCCUUUAUCACGUUUCGCGUGCUGUUAAAUCGCUUUUCAUUUUUAGUCGUGAUUAUCCUUUUUCUUCACCAAUAUGUAACUUGCUUCCUAUUUUCCGCGAUUGCAAUACGCUAUUUAGCUCCCUUAAAAUAUUUAAAAAGAAAGAAUGGGCUUUUUGUUUCAAAUUCAGUCAAUUAAAAUCCCCCUCCCACCCCCCCUCACCCCCUAUAUUUGUCGGGACUAUUUCCACGUAAUUAAGAUAUAAUUCACUGAUAUUAUUAAGGUUUCUAAUACCGGUGUCUAAUAUCUUUUUUGAUUAAUAUUCAUUGCAUUUUAGGUGCUCUCCACUGAUAUUUGAAAAAAAAAAAAGAUGGGGAUAGUACGAUACUUAGGGAAAUCAUACACAAAUUCAAACCAAUAAAUAUGAAUCAAAGUU